ACACACCUAAAACUUUCCACGUGAACUGUCGUUAUUUGUUGUGUGUGUGCGGAAGCUGGCGUGCGUGCGUUUGCUUACKCUUCSGUGUUUGCGAGUGUGCGCGUGCUGGCGGUGCGCGGACUGAACGAAGGUCGUGUGUUGCUGUGUGUGCCUGCUGCACCGCUGACUUUGCWUUGAUUUGCWUGGYGUKGGCGGAGCGGMGGGKGUGCUGUGCGUGCGCGCGGCUGACUUAUUUUUUCAAACCCGAUACCUAAAUGACUGAUUAUACUGUGAGAACGAAAGUUCUUGCUUUAAACUAGAUAACAACUUUCAGCAGUGGAUGUCUAGGCUCGCACAUCGAUGAAGAACGCUGCGAACUGCGAUACGUAAUGCGAAUUGCAGAAUUCAGUGAGUCAUCGAAAUUUUGAACGCAUAUUGCACUUCCGGGUUAUGCCUGGAAGUAUGUCUGUAUCAGUGUCCGUAAAUCAAACUUGCGUUUCUUCCUUCCGUGUAGUCGGUGGAGGAGAGUUGCAGAUGUGAAGUGUCUCGCUGUGGUUGGCGUUCGUUGUUUGUAAUGAUGAAUGCACAGCUUGCGAGUCCUUUUAAAUGGACACGACUUUCUCUUUUUUGUAUCUGCGCGGUGCUGUGCGUGAACGCGGUGGUUUUCGGAUCGCUCGCGGCUGUCGGCGACUUCGGUGAAUGCAUGAUGGAGUGGACCUCGAUUCGCGGUAUGUUGGGCUUCGGCUGGACAAUGUUGCUUAUUGUGUGUUUGUUCCGUGUUCGCCUUGAGGUGUACUGGUGGCUGUGGGAUUGAACUGGUUGCUGUUGUUAGUAGUGUGUGGCGCGUUGUCGUGGGUGCAUCUGUGUUUCUGCGCAUUCAUUCGUGUGUGUGC
rnacentral:rRNA from 1 species